UUUAGGGAAGGAAAGAAAUGCCGAUGUUGCAAUUCUUCCCAUCCCGAUAAAGUGAGUCACCCGUGAUUCGAUAGUUCCAUUUUCCGCUGAUGCAGGCCGAUUGGGAUCCCAGCAGUCAAACCACUGUGUUCGUUCCUCACCCUCCUUCCAAUCAAAUCUAUUCUAAGGUGUCCGGAGGCAGGGGAAAGAAAGGAGGGAUUGAUCGACCAACUUGAACAGAUCCAUAACCUGCUUCCAUCUGUCCUGAAUGAGGGAAUUAAGGCGGGUAUAGUCGAACUGAACUGCUUGAUUCUAAGGUGGGUGAUAAGCAGCUGUAUCCGUAUCAAGCCUACCUAAACCACUCUGUUCGUUCCACACCCUCCUUCCAAUCAAAUCUAUUCUAAGGUGUCCGGAAGCAGGGGAAAGAAAAGAGGGAUUGAUCGACCAACUUGAACAGAUCCAUAACCUGCUUCCAUCUGUCCUAAUGAGGGAAUUAAGGCGGGUAUAGUCGAACUGAACUGCUUGAUUCUAUGGUGGGUGAUAAGCAGCUGUAUCCGUAUCAAGCCUACCAUCUCUUCUCACGAAAGACUUUCCAUCCCGUCUCUGAAAGUUUUGCAAUAUAAGUGGCCCUGCUUCAAAGCCCCAGAAAACCCCCCUUACUCUCUCUCUAUAAAAAAAAGCCCUUUCCCCUUUCUUUAAUAAUAUAAGGUAAGCUUUGAAAAGUAACACGCUCCCGACAGGCAAUUAAUCCUCCCCAGAAAACCCCGCUUACUCUCUCUCUAUAAAAAAAGCCCUUUCCCCUUUCUUUAAUUAUAUAAGGUAAGCUUU
rnacentral:lncRNA from 1 species